rnacentral:lncRNA from 1 species
GAAAUUAGAAAGAACAUAUGUAUAGGUUUUGAUAUAUGGAAUAUGAGUUGGAAAAAGUUGUGUGGAGGAUCGUAUCAUCCAAAUUAGAAUUUUUUUUAAGAAAGAAAGAGAAAGAGAGUGAAUGAGAUGGGGAUAGGCAAUGCAUGCAUAAUAAUAUUCCUGAUAACAAUAUAUAAUAAUGUGUUACAUGGGGAACCAGAUAAGUUGCUUAUUGGUCAUCUUCUCCAUGCGCCAUCCUCCCACAUGCCUGUCAACCUCAACCAAUCCCCUUCCAUUUUCUUCUGUCUUUUCUCCUCUUCUCCUAAACUUGCACUUAUACCAAUCAUAUCAAAACAUACCCGUAAAUGUAUAGUUGGUCAACAAAUUUAUAAAUAUAACAAAAUUUAGAUUUAACUCUUAAAAUAUUAAAUUUGUUAUCUUUAUAAUUAUUUUAAAAUAUUGUUAUACACUUAAUUAUUAAUUCUAAAAUUGUUAUCAUUAAAAUAGACCUAUUUAAAAGUAUGUGAACAAAAUAAUUGUUUAAAAAGUAUAAAAAUUAACUAAAUUAACAUGAAAUGGUACUUAAAUCUAAUUUAUAUAUUUGCUUUUUUCUCUGUCCUUUUUCUUUUCACGUGAUUAUCGUUUAUUUGCCGUUGUUUGAAAAUUAGAACAUUAUGUGGAGCCACACAUUUAAUUUUAAUAAAUUUUUUAGGGUUAUUUUAAUUGAAGUAAAGUGGUUGAUAUAAUCAAAGUCGAUAGUAGGCAGGAAGGGACUAUAGGUGGGACUAAGAAAAGAGAAAAAAGAUGCAAAUAUAUAAAUUAAAUUUAAAUACUAUUCCGUUUAUUUAGUUCAUUUUUUAUACUUUUUAGUACUAAAAUAUCCUUUCUAAAUUUAAAAAGUGUUACAUGUUUAGUGUUUAAUUAAGUUUUUGAAUUUGAUUUCGACUUAAGAGGACAGAUUUCAAAAUUUUACUAUUCACAUUUGAAUUUCGUUUUGAUUUGGUCCAUAAAUUUUAAUAUUUAUAUUUUUAUCCUUAACUUUUCACUAAAUACUUAUUUCUCAUAUUCAACGUUAUUAUACGUUAAUAAGUGGAAAAUUAAAUUUAAAAUUUUACUAUAUGAUUACUUUAAAUUAAUUAAUAAAUAUUAAAAUCAAUAUGUUUGUAAGUGAGUAUUUAAUGAGAAGUUGAGGUUUAAAAUCUAAAAGAUGGAAUGAUAGGGUAUCAAAUUGAAACAAAACUUAAAUCUUAAAAGUAAAAUUGCAACAGUGUGAUACUUAAGGACUAAAUGAAAACCAAAGAUCAAAACUUAAUAACAUUUUGAAACUUAAGAAUAAAAUAGAAACUAGAUCCAAAAUGGAUAGAUUAAAAAAGAAUAGAUGUUAUUUUGUUUUCUAAAAUUAAAAUUUAGUAACAAGUAUCCUUAAAUUAAUUUUUGAAAAAUUCGAACAAGCAAUUUGCAACAGUUUGUUGAAUGAAAGAAAGCUGGAUCAAGAAAACAAAAAGAAAGAAGUUACCUCCACCAGCUAACGCAAUGGAUAAUAAAAAAGAAAUUAUAUAUUAAGAAAAACAGAGUUUCUUUCUCUCACAUUGUAUCUUUUUCAAGUGUUUCUAGUGAAUUUAAUUAUAAAAUUUUUAAAAAGCAAAAGUGCUUCUAUGUGAAUUUUGCUUUGAUAUGUUUGUAGAAGUUGAAAUUGGACCCAACAAUUGAUUGCAACUUAAUUUUUAUGAAAACUGUUUAAGACUGAAGUUUGUAAGUUUGAGUCCAAUUUUAACAUUUGAAUUCAUGAGAUAUUUUGGAGCUAUAUAUUUGUUUUUAGUUAUUUUGGUUCUCUCUAUGUGUUUUCAUUUUAUAUUUAAAAGUGGUUUAAAAAGGAUAGAUUUUGGAUUUUGAAAAACUAAGAAUUGAUGUUACAUUCAGAAAUUGAAAAUGAGAAGCACCAUUUUAAAAUAAACAAAGACAAAAAAACAAAAACAAAAGCAAUAACACAAAGAGAGCGCUAAAAGACAUGUCAUCCUUUUUAAAUUUGACACACAAAAAAAAAACAAAACAAAACAAAAAAAAAAUUCUAAAAUCCAAUUUUACUUAUAAAAUUUAGUUAAAAGAUCAAAUAUAUAUAAAAAAGAAAAACAUAUAAUUUAAAAGAAAUUUUUUUAAAACAUAACAAAUCAACCAAAAUACUUAUAAAAUAAAACAUAAUAAAGAUGAACCGCAAUAAAUAAAAAAAUAUAUUUUUAUAGAUAAAUGGUAAUAUUUUAGAAAUUUUACUAUUUAAAAUAUAUAUUUUAAAAGAAAUUGACAAAAAGAAAAAACAUGAAUUAGAAAGUAAAAAUUAAAAAGAAAAAAAGAACAAAAAAAGUAAGAACAAAAUCACUGUUUGACCAUCAAUAUCAACAAAAGAAAUUAAAAAAAAGGAAAGGUUAGAAAAAAAGAUAUAAAACCGUGGGACCAAGAGAUAGAGAUUGAAGCAUAGGAAACCCACCUGAUUUGGAGUUCAAAUAAGAUCCAAAUGAACCCUACCUCACAUGACACACUUUUUUGCUUUAAACAAUCUAUACUAUUCUAUGCCAUCCUAUCAACACUCACUAUACUAAUAAAUAUAUUACUUUUCUCUUCAUCAUUUCCUAGCUCUUAUUUGACAAAAUUAACCCAUCCCCCAUCAUUUAUAUGUUUCAUAAAUUACAUUUCCAAUCCCUAUAUUACAUCCUUUUUGCAUUUUAGUUCAUAUAUAUGACCUAUAUGUGCAAUUUUAUCUACUUUCUUAUACUUUUCUAAUUUGUAUUAAUCAACAUCGUCAUUGUAAAUAUUCUCCUACGUGACAUUACGUUAUCAUAUAAAUAACGUAUAAUUCUGUUUUUUUCUUCUUCUUCUUUUAAUUACUAUUAGACAAACGAGAAAUAAAAACUUGCAAUUGGAAUGUUUUGAAUUUGUUGUAUGAUGUAUCGAACAAUAAUGACUCCAAGAUUUAGAGAAAUACAUUAUAUAAACUCUUUAAUUUUAGAGGUCUCAUCACUCUCUAUUCAGUAACAUAUUUUUCACUAAUAAAGUUGUUCUAUCUUUGUCUUGUGGACAUAGCUAACACGUUUUAGUGAACCACAUAAUCUAUGUAAAGGUUAAUGAUCUUUGUAUUAUUUGUUUGUUAGUGUCAAUUAGAUUUAUCAUAUUGGAUUCAUAAUUUUAAUUUGUUUAUUACCUAAGACGUAUCAAAUUAUAUUUUUAUAUUUCAAUGCAAACAUUAUUUAACUAUUCACUUAAAAUUGCUAAGCUCAAACCAUUGUACGAUUAUUUAAAUAAAAGAUGUUUUCGUAACUUCGUACAUAAGAUACUAACUAUCAAUUCAAAACAAUAUCUUAUUUCCAAACAAAAAAGAAAAAAGAAAAAACUCUAACUAAUAUAUUGUGUUUAAAUAGGUUAUUUCAUUCCUUAAAAUUCCAAAUUUUUUAUUUUAUUUUUAGAGAAAAGAAAAAGAACAUUUUGUGUAUUAUUUGUUGCUAAACAUAGUGGAACACCUUCAUAAAUCACUAUAUAGUAUAUACAUUACCCCAUCAAAAUAGAUACCAAACUUUUUUCUAAGAAAUAGUAUUUUAUUGCCUAACCUAAUUAAUAUAUUGCCUCUAAACUCGGCUCCACUAUUAUUGCCCAUGACAUUAAUAGUAUACACAUUUCAAAUAAUUUAAACAAUUAGCAACUUAUUAAUGAGAUUUACCAAAGAUGGUUUAUGUUGUAAAAAAAAAGAAAUAUAUAACUAUAUAUGAUUACUAAAUAAUUUAACAGACUUAAAAGUGACUUUAAACAAACCUUAAAAAAAAAAAAGUAACGUAAGCACAAUUUAAUAAAUUAUGAUAAUUCUUUUCUUUUGUUCGAAGUUAGAAGAUUGAGGUAUUGAAUAAAUUUAAAAAUUCAUAAUAUGAGAAUAUAUAGUAGGCAAAAGAAACUCAAAUAUGUGAACCUUUCACUUUUUUGGAAGUUUGGAAUGGGAUGUAUUUUUUUUUGGUUAAGGUUCUUCUUUCCAUUUAUCAUUUAGAGUUCGAGUCUUUAUCUAAUUUAAGUUUUAUGGAUUUUGAUCGACGUAUUGUUUCAUUUCGAAAUCAUUUAACAACAGAUGAGUAAGUUCAUAUAUUUUUUAAAAAAAUGUCUCCUCAUAUUUCUAAUGCGAGAUAAUCUUGCUUUCACUUUCAAAUUCGAUUUUAAUACAUAGUAGGAAUUUUAAAAUAACAAACAUAAUUCAAAUUAUAUUUAAAUUAAGAUUAAACACCAUCUUUGUAAUACUUUUUCAACCUAUUCAAUUUCUGAUUCUCUAUACUUUCAAUACAACCUAACUUUAAUUUUGAUUGCUAAUUAAUUAUUGGUUAUUUUUUUAAAAAAAUAAUUAUACUCGGCUAGUAUUUUCACAAUAUACUUUUGUAAAACAUGUUCCUAUCUUAUACUUUCUACAUAUGCUUAAGAUACUUUCUACAUGCUUAUAAUCAUUAUUGAUGACAAAUUUAGGAUAUUUAAGCCUUCGCAUAAUGAUAAUUGUAAAUUUGUAUUUUGAAGAAAUAAAAGAAAAGUUAUUAUAAUUGUAACAACAAAGAAGAUAUCAGAAGUUUAAAGAAAUUAAUGCCAAAUAAGGAAAAGAAUGUCAAAUGAAUUCAAUGUUCAAAGUGAUCAUAAUUGUAUAAAUAGAUAAUGAAAUCGGAAGUUUAAAUUAUUUCAUGUAGAUUGACAAUAAUUUAUUUAUAAAGAAUUUGACUAAUAACGAUUUAACUCAGCUAUCCUACAAUUAAGAUAAAUCAACCUUUUCCUAAUCCUAAAAAACUACACCAAAUCUAUUUUAAAUGAUUUAAUCUUUGAUAUCGAAAUUCACCAAUAAUAAAAUUUAUUAUUAUUUAAAAAAUUUCAAUAAAAAAAUUAGUUUUAAUUAAGUGCAGAAAUUUAAAGUUUAUUUAGUAUUAAUAUUAUAAAAAAAUUGUAAAAAAUAGGUACCAAAUAUUUAAUGAAUUUCGUGGUUUAGUUUAUUUAUUUAUUAAUUAAAAAAAACCCCUUAAUUAUCCCUAUUGGCAUGUAAUGUUUAUUUAAAUUACCUUAUUUAAUUAAUUGCGUGGAGGAAACGGAUUAACUGUUGGCAUGAAGUUAAAAGGCAUUUCUUUGUGACGCAUAUAUAUAAAUGCAAAAAGCCUCUUCUUUUUUUCCUUCAUCUUUCAAAACACUUUUGCCACCUCCUCUCUUUCUUUUGGUCCCUCCAGGGAGUUUUCGCCAUGGCCGCCACAGCCGCCGCUUCCAACCACCGUGUCGCACUU